rnacentral:lncRNA from 1 species
UAAGAGGCUGUAAGCCGAUUCUCUCAAAUUAAAAACUAAUGAGAAAUAAUAACUGGAAGACUCCAAAUAAGGUGUACUUACGACUGGCCAAGAUAUCCUGCCAAUAAAAAGGGAGAUGCAAAGGAGCCUCCCAAGACAGCCAGCACGAGGCACCUGGGAGGAUGGUGGUUUGGGAAGUGAAGAUAAAUACUUCCCUAACAUUAACCCCCCCACCACCCCCCAGCUGUGGAUCUCGGGAAGUCCCUCUCUGGUGUUGAUGUUUCACCACUGAACAGAGGAAAGCCGAAAAACCUGGAGAAAGUGCAUCCUCUCAUGUCCCACCAGGGGUCCCAGAGCGUAUUCCUUCUGUGCUGACGGAAGGAUCCAUCCCUUCCCUCCCUGCCUGAAGCCAUGACUAUGCUGGGGGCAAAACGUCUCCAGAAGAGCUGGAGUGAGAGGACCUUCCUGGGGGGUAUUUCCAACAUGCGACUGGGGGAAUGAGAAGAACUUAGCUCAAUUAUUUUGUUUUAAAACAUCUUCCUCCUCAGCCCGAUUUUAUACUUUAAAGUAGUUUUACAAGCUGUGGAGCUCAUGCACGUGUCUGAACCUGAAGGAGGAAUUGCUUCAUCACUGGAGGGGAAGGACAAGGCAUGGAGGUGCAAGGUCCAUCCUAAGAAUGCUGAACAUCAGUCUGGGACAAACCUUGCCUGCUCUCACUGUGACACCAGCACGGAAAGAAAGGAGAGAAGUGCCAUGCCCUGCAGAUGUGAGAUGCAAACCCAGCCAGAGCGUGCAGCCUUGGGUGAGACCGUGGCUCCUUGCAGCCCAUUCAUCUUCAUUACCUGCCUCAGCUGCCAGCAGCGACAGCAAAACAGCUCUCCAGACCAGCGCCACCGGUGGUUUUCCCUGUGGGAGGUGUUCCUGGUAGAACAAUUUGGUUUCUCCUCAGCCCCACCUAAUGCCCAGGCGGUAUCAGCCUGCCUGCCUCUGUGGGCUCCCCAGAUACAAGUGAGCUCCUUGGCCUGCCUGGCUGCCUUCCCCGAUCACCUACACGGCAGUAAUGCAGGCUGUGGUGCUACCCAUGCCUCUGCACCCAUGCUGCUGGGCCCCGGCGGGCUCCCUGGGCUGUAUUUACUCAAGAUGCUGGGCUGCAGUUUGCUCAUCCCUGCUCUACAGGGCUGCUUUGUCCACAAAAGCAACUGGGGAGCUGCAGCCAUGCAAAAUGUACCUGCAUCUAUUCGUGCGUGCGCGUGCUGUAUCCCACCUGCAGUACUUCAACACCUAGUUCUCUAACACGUCUGUCGCAACAAAUAUUCCAAUGUCAAAUUCUGUAUAAGCAAAAAAUCCCUUUUUUAUAUGCAAAGGUUUUUCAUGGAUCGGAAAUUAUUGCACCCAAUAGUUCUAUUUUGAAUCCAUAGUAAUUUCAGUCAUGAUUUAAGGCAUAGAUGAUGUUUGCUCAUUUACAGAAUCAGUCUUAGGCUUCCUUGUCGUUCAUUUUUC